rnacentral:rRNA from 1 species
GUGGGGAAUAUUGGGCAAUGGGCGAAAGCCUGACCCAGCAACGCCGCGUGAAGGAAGAAGGUUUUCGGAUUGUAAACUUCUGUCCUCAGGGAAGAAGAAAGUGACGGUACCUGAGGAGGAAGCCCCGGCUAACUACGUGCCAGCAGCCGCGGUAAUACGUAGGGGGCGAGCGUUGUCCGGAAUGACUGGGCGUAAAGGGCGCGUAGACGGCUGUCUAAGUCUGGAGUGAAAGUCCUGCUUUCAAGGUGGGAAUUGCUUUGGAGACUGGAUGGCUUGAGUGCGGAAGAGGUAAGUGGAAUUCCCAGUGUAGCGGUGAAAUGCGUAGAGAUUGGGAGGAACACCAGUGGCGAAGGCGACUUACUGGGCCGUAACUGACGUUGAUGCGCGAAAGCGUGGGGAGCGAACAGGAUUAGAUACCCGAGUAGUCC